rnacentral:rRNA from 1 species
UACGGAGGGAGCAAGCGUUACUCGGAAUUAUUGGGCGUAAAGGGCGCGUAGGCGAUUUGAAAAGUCUUGUGUGAAAGCCCCGAGCUUAACUCGGGAAGUGCACAAGAAACUGUUGAAUUUGAGUUCCGGAGAGGAAGGCAGAAUUCCCAGUGUAGCGGUGAAAUGCGUAGAUAUCGGGAGGAAUACCAGUGGCGAAGGCGGCCUUCUGGACGGAUACUGACGCUGAGGCGCGAAAGCCAGGGGAGCAAACGGG